CACGUGACAUCCUGUUUGAACAUGGGGGGACCAUCCUCCAAGGCUAAAUACUCCUGACUGACCGAUAGUGAACCAGUACCGUGAGGGAAAGGCGAAAAGAACCCCUGUUAGGGGAGUGAAAUAGAACCUGAAACCGUGUACGUACAAGCAGUGGGAGCCCCUUCGUGGGGUGACUGCGUACCUUUUGUAUAAUGGGUCAGCGACUUACAUUCUGUAG
rnacentral:rRNA from 1 species